CUUUCACAGACACUGACACAGGCAACACUAUAAUGAUGUUGGUCGUUCUACUGCUCGUGAUGCUGGGACUCCUUGUACAAGAAUCAAUGGCAGAUAUAGUUCUGACUCAGUCUCCAGCAGCUCAGUCUAUUCAGCUGGGAGACACAGUCUCUAUCAACUGUACAGCCAGUCAGAGCGUUCACACCAACUCCAAUGGCCAUUAUCUCCACUGGUACCUGCAGAAACCUGGUCAGGCUCCUAAACUUCUGAUUUAUUAUGCCACGAGUCGCCAGUCUGGGAUUCCCGAUCGUUUCAGUGGGAGUGGAUCUGGGACUCAGUUUACACUGAAAAUCACUGGAGUCCAGGCUGAAGACGCAGGAGAUUAUUACUGUCAGAGUUUCCAUCUGAUCAGUGGUAGCUGGGUGUUCACACAGUGUUAGAGAGCUGUACAAAAACCUCCUUCAAUCAGACUGCACAGAGAC